GCUCGUUCUCUAUAAAUUCCCUACAUCGCUCUGGUCUUCUCCUCAAUUGACGCCCCAUCCUUCCUCAGCCUUCACCACAAGGCACCGUCGCCAUCACCGUAUGAAUGUCAUGAAGUAUCUUCCAUGCAUGGUUCCGGCGAGCAGUCCUGCCGGCGAGACGUGUCGGCGUGGGCUGGACAGUACAGUCGGCCACGGAAGGUUGUUCAUGCGGUGGGAGAUAUGGUGAUUGCUGCAGGGGUGGAAACGAAGAUGCCUGAUGCAGGCAGUCAGCUCUCCGCAGGGCAUGCAAGCAAGGCAGUUGCGAUCAAUGCUUCGGACGCUGCACGCAGAUUUUAGAGCAACACACAAGCAAGCAAUAUUGGUCAGAUGCAGACUGACGCGACUACUUACUUCAGCCACCGAGCAACCAAUCCACGAUGGGUUAAUAAGGGCCAACCUGGGCCAUAUCCGGCCCACUUGGAAAGCAAAAACGUCAUCCACAAUGGUAAAGAAGAAAUGGCCAGGCCAUGUGCUCCAUUGGCACACCGACAUAUCUUGUGCAGCCUGGCUUAUCUAGACGUCUCUCUCUCUCUCUCUCUCUCUCUCUCUCUCUCUCUCUCUUGAGUAUACACGCUAGGUGCUCAGGAAAAUUCCCAGCGUCUGUGAAACCAAGUCAAUGGCUCCAGCAUGCUACGGAUGAUGAUGCCAAUGGAUGUGGCUUCGCCUCCCCCACAUGCCCCGCUUGGCAUCUUGAUCUGUGCUGGACUAUAAUUGGGAGGCCGAUGAUUUCUCCCCUCUCCGCACCAAUACCAUGGUGAGCGACAAGGAGUUAAAGAAUUUAGAAAUGAACCUGAUCGUUACUCUCUCUCGGUUUUGCUGCACAUCAAAUGGAGUUGGUUCAUGCUGAACUUGUCCUUGUUAAUUGUGGAUGCACCUGUUCCUUUUCUUUCCGCGAUGGUGUUGAUGCAGUACAUGAUGGCCUUGCUGUGCCUAUCGAUGGUGGGAGCCUCUGCAUUUCGGUGCAUCCUGAAGAAGAGUCCCAUCUAGACUGAAACACUAAAGCACCAAACCGGCUUGAACGAGCUACAUAUAAUGCAAGUCAUCGACUAGUCGAUCUACACUAUAAGGCUCUAAUAUAGUGCUUUUCGUAUUUUUCUUAAUGAUGCUUUGAUUUUGAAAACCUCUGUUUUCUGCUGUCUGCUGAAAUAAUUUAUUGCAGCCCAAUGCAGCUGGUGUUUGGUUUUGGUUUUCUUGUCAGCACUAGGUGUAUAUAUUCAGUCCAACUCUGUUUUAUUUGGAUGCACAACUAUGCUUAAUUAGACUAAUAGAAAGAUUUUGGUGUUUGGUAAUUAAACCUAACGCUUGAUUUGUACCUAAAUAGUUGAUAUGCCUUACAUAUUUACAGUGUUAGCUCAUGAAGUCUACUCUCCUUUGUUCUCUAAUAUUUGCUCACAAACCAGGGAGCAAAUAUUAAAAGGAAAGUAGACUCGAUGAGUUAUGUUUUCCUUCCAGGACCUUGAAUGAAUCAGAUGUACAUGUUUAUGUCCAGCCAGGAUUCUCUUCAUUAAUAAUUUUAUUUUCCUAUGCAAUUGAAAUGAAGCACUAGUAUUUUGUAAAGUGUGUGUGAAAUGAUGACCUGUAAAGAGAUGGGAGUGUUCUUAUCUACAAUUUCUCUAUUUUUAUUGAGCCCUAUUGGAGGGUCAAAUUCUUCAUUUAGGAUUUAUUUCUUUCCAGAUCAUAUUUUUACUAUCCUGGAAUGACUCUCUGAGGUGACUGACUACUUCUUUCCUCUUUUCAUUGGCUAAUUGAGAAUCUUUUUCGGCUUUGUCUCUCUAGGUUGCAUGAUAAGGUCCCUAUGGUUGAGAAAAUGCUAUCAAGAAAAGGUUGUCGAUUGAUGCCACUGCCUUAGCCUCACCGAUGAGGCUUUGCUUGCAAAUGUUCUUGCUUUGAUCAUAACCUUGUGUUUUUUUUCUUCUGGGUUGCAAUACCAUCCGUGUGUGCCACUUUUUGUCUUUCUUUGAGUUAUUGUUUGUGACUUUGCUUGCUCUUUUUAGUACUCUAGUCGGUUCACAUUAUUCUAAUAUUUUCCUGAUAUGAUUGGCCUCAGAAAUAGUUGUCACAUAUUGAUAGGAACCUGAUUAUUGUGAUUAAGUUCCGUCUUGUUAAUGCAUAGCUAAUUUAUUUGAAGUUGAUUUGAUACUCGGAAAAGAUGGCAAUGAUGAUAAAUUUAAGGCUUGUUUCUCAAAAUAUUCUGAGUUGUUGCCUAAGAGCUUUCACUGCCAGGCUUGAGAGCUAAUGCUGCUUAUUCCUUCCUUGUAUGUGUUAGCAUUUUUUAUUCUCCCUAGUUCGUAUUGUCUGUUCUAGAUAAAAAAAUUGUAGUCUUCAUAGUAUGUUCAAUCGGCCCUUGCAUUGCAAAUGAAGAUGAAAUCACUCAAAACGUUCGCAGUUGUCGCAUCGUGGUUGAAAAGGUAGUCAGAUUUAGUCCCUGCUUGAGUUAUAUGCAUGUAGAACUUCUGACUGAUCUUUACAAGCAAGUAUUAUUUAUCUUUACCAAGUUGCAUAAUGACAUGGUGUUAACUUGUUGCAGGAUUAUCUACUGAAUGCAUAGAAGCUUCGGUUCCUGUUCAUCUACAUUAAUUCUACUUAGAUGACUAUACUCAUGAGGAUAUGUACUGAGUAAUGAGUACGCAUAGAUAGCUUCGGUUCCUGGCCAUCUACAUUCUACUUAGAAGACUAUAACUCACAAGGUCUCGAGUUGAAGGUUGCACUCCCUCUAAGACACAGUCAUUGCGAUGCUUCCAAAAUCAUCCAUGACACCAGCAGCGUCGCAGUCGCCAGCCCCUUGUGCAUCGACUUCGGGGUGUGUUGUCUUGCGGCAUGCCACCAAUCAAAGAGGUUGCAAGAUAAGGUCCUCCGGUAUCUGAGAGCGUGAGGGCGACCAUGCUGGGCAUCCUUUGCUUGGCCAAAACGUGGGGUGGCCACAGAUGCCUCGGUAGAGCGAGGAGGUAUCCAUGCUCAGAAAUUAAGGUCUGCAGAAGCCUUUAUAUAAUGCAUCGUAGCAGGUACUCUGAGAUAUGUUACAAGAGAAACUUAUUUGUUGGGUAUUCUCAGAUUUAUCUUUUGUAUUGUCAGUUCACUUGUGUUUCCUCCUCCAACUAGGACUAGCAUCAUAGCUGAUAAAUUUACUUCAGUUUUUCAAUCAUGGACAUGUACAUUUCACAUUCUGUACCACGUUACGUUUUGGAGGAAGGAAAAGGGGCGGGUGGCUAGAGAUGGUCAUCUCGUCAUGUGACAAGGACUUCUUCCUACUCGCCAUCUCUCUGCAACCAGGACCUCGGGUGCGGUCUCAUCCCUUUCACGACUUCAGGUUGUCAUUGCUCGUUGCUAUUGAUUACAUGUUUUUCCCCAAUGGGUGCUUCCUCCACGAAGACAUGCCUAAGGAGUUGAGGUGCAACAUGAACCACUAGUUGAAGACUGUAAAGCAGAUAGCCUUUUCUUGGGCCUACAUAUUCCAGCAUGUGUCGUUAAGCACAGACACCUAAUUUUUCAGGAAUUGUUAGUUGGAAAUUAAACCACUGCAUUAGCUGAACUAAAACAUUGUCACUAUCACAUGUUUGGACUCCUGUACGCAAGAUGAAAAGGACUUGCAACCCUCGAUUGCUCGAGAUGAUGAUCAAGGUUAGAAGAUGUGGAGACUCAACCAGUGAAUGGUACCCUAGAAGCAUUGCUAAUACCUGCUAGUGCUUUCCCACAGUGUCAUCUAUCACCUACUGUUCACAGCUUUUCCCACAACAUGUAUGCCUUGCUGACAUAUUGAAUAGUGGACCGAUAAGUUCCUCUAAGGUAUCAUUCAAGGAGAGGAGUGGAAUGAGCUUGAGUUAUCCGCUCGUGGCAGGAGCGUGAUGAGUUGACAAGCAGAUGUCGAGAGAUGCAUAGGGUGGGAAGCCCACUACCGGGAGUCUGAUGAUGGAGACCACAACCUGGAUACUGAACAAUGGUUGAUCACUUCCAUGUUUCGCCUGAUGAUGGAGAAGGCACUACAUGGAGCUUGAAGUUGUUUGUACUAGUUAAAUGUUUUAAGGUUUGCAUCUUUGCUGGGCACUCCGUAGCUCUAUUUAGUAGUUUGCAAUCUGGUGAAUUUUCCCCUGGAGUGGGUUGCUCUGUAGUAGUAGAGAAGGGAGUGAGCAUAUGUGUCACUAGCUAGGAGUUGGUGUGUGUAGGGACCUGGGUGUGUAUGCCACAGUUUGAGAAAUGAAAUCAAACUGCUACUUAAUUCAAGAAAACAACAUCUACUGGUAUAUGUUUGUUUCCAAUCAUUGGUAUCUAACUUUCAGUCGCUGACGUCAA